rnacentral:rRNA from 1 species
GACGAACGCUGGCGGCGUGCUUAACACAUGCAAGUCGAGCGGAGCGGCGAACGGGUGAGUAACGCGUGAGUAACUGCCCCCCUCUCUGGGAUAACAGUUGGAAACGGCUGCUAAUACCGGAUAGUGGGGGAUGACUCGCGGCCUAUCAGCUUGUUGGUGGGGUGGUGGCCUACCAAGGCGACGACGGGUAGCCGGCCUGGGAGGGCGACCGGCCACAUGGGGCUGAGAUACGGCGCAAACUCCAACGGGAGGCAGCAGUGGGGAAUAUUGUACAAUGGGGGAAACCCUGAUGCAACAACGCCGGGUGCGGAAUGACGGCCUACGGGUUGUAAACCGAUUACAGCCAUGACGCGGUAGUGGCAGAAGAAGCACCGGCUAACUACGUGCCAGCAGCCGCGGUAAUUC